rnacentral:RNase_P_RNA from 1 species
GAAGCUGACUAGACAGUCGCUGCUUGUUAACUCAAGCAGAGGAAAGUCCGGGCUCCACAGAGCAGAGUGACGGCUAACGGCCGUACGUUGCGAAACGAGGAAUAGGGCCACAGAGACGAGCGUAUUUAGUUACGGUGAAACGCGGUAACCUCCACUCGGAGCAAAGUCAAAUAGGGUAGUAAU